UGGUAAUGCCGGAUGCUCCAGUUGAUCGCAUGGUUUUCUGGGAAAGCUUUCGCGGUAUGGGAUGGGGUCGCGUCCUAUCAGCUUGACGGCGGGGUAACGGCCCACCGUGGCUUCGACGGGUAGCCGGCCUGAGAGGGCGACCGGCCACAUUGGGACUGAGAUACGGCCCAGACUCCUACGGGAGGCAGCAGUGGGGAAUAUUGCACAAUGGGCGCAAGCCUGAUGCAGCGACGCCGCGUGAGGGAUGGAGGCCUUCGGGUUGUAAACCUCUUUUAUCGGGGAGCAAGCGAGAGUGAGUUUACCCGUUGAAUAAGCACCGGCUAACUACGUGCCAGCAGCCGCGGUAAUACGUAGGGUGCAAGCGUUAUCCGGAAUUAUUGGGCGUAAAGGGCUCGUAGGCGGUUCGUCGCGUCCGGUGUGAAAGUCCAUCGCUUAACGGUGGAUCCGCGCCGGGUACGGGCGGGCUUGAGUGCGGUAGGGGAGACUGGAAUUCCCGGUGUAACGGUGGAAUGUGUAGAUAUCGAAAAGAG
rnacentral:rRNA from 1 species